rnacentral:lncRNA from 1 species
CUUGCAGAGGCACCCAUGGCAAUUGUGAUGAGUAAAGAGAAGAGAACUGCAGGAGAGAGGGACAGCCAGCAGAUGAGGCAACGUGGUUAUUCUCCUUGGGCUCCUAUUCUCCGUGGGCACUUAUUACAUCCUGGCUGGGAUGCAGUGUCCCCAGUGAACAUGAAAUCUGGAUAACCUGGACUGGGUUCAGCAGAGGGCCACCAAGAUGAGCAGGAGCACAUCCUGUGGGGAGCUGUGGAGGAGGGAUCAAGUCUUGUUCAACCUGGAAAGCAGAAGUUCAUGAGGGACAGACAUGGACAUACUGGAAAGAGUCCAACAGAGGGAUGUCAAGAUGAUGAAUGGACUGGAUGGAGUGGCUUCUUAUGAGACAGUCUUCCCCCCUGGAGAUCUCCAGAAGCAGUUGGGACAUGGGCCUGGGCAGCAGCAGCUCGGACUGAAGUAUCCAGUGUGAGCAAAGUGGCACGUACUCCAGGACUAUGACAGAGAGGAGAAAGACCUCUGUUUUGGUAACUCCACCAGGAUGAGCUCUCCUGCGCUGCACACAGUGCAGCCAAC